UGGGGAAUAUUGCACAAUGGGGGAACCCUGAUGCAGCGACGCCGCGCGAGGGAAGAAGGUUUUCGGAUUGUAAAUCUCUGUCCUUGGUGACGAUAAUGACGGUAGCCAAGGAGGAAGCCACGGCUAACUACGUGCCAGCAGCCGCGGUAAUACGUAGGUGGCAAGCGUUGUCCGGAAUUACUGGGUGUAAAGGGAGCGUAGGCGGGAAAGCAAGUUGGGAGUGAAAUGUAUGGGCUUAACCCAUAAACUGCUUUCAAAACUGUUUUUCUUGAGUGAAGUAGAGGCAGGCGGAAUUCCUAGUGUAGCGGUGAAAUGCGUAAAUAUUAGGAGGAACACCAGUGGCGAAGGCGGCUUACUGGACGGUAACUGACGUUGAGGCUCGAAAGCGUGGGGAGCAAACAGGAUUAGAUACCC
rnacentral:rRNA from 1 species